CGGAUCGCAGGCUGCAACUCGCCUACGUGAAGUUGGAAUUGCUAGUAAUCGCGGAUCAGCAUGCCGCGGUGAAUACGUUCCCGGGCCUUGUACACACCGCCCGUCACACCAUGGGAGUUUGUAACACCCGAAGUCAGUAUCCUAACCGCAAGGGGGGAGCUGCCGAAGGUGGGAUAAGCGACUGGGGUGAAGUCGUAACAAGGUAAC
rnacentral:rRNA from 1 species